CAAGUACUCCCUUCAUCCGAAAAUACUUGUCAUAGAAAUAGAUAUAAAUGAUUGUAUCUAGAACUAAAAUACAUUUAGAUACAUCAAUUCCUCGGAUAAGUAUUUCGGGACGGAGGGAGUAGUAC
rfam:Triticum aestivum genome assembly, contig: Triticum_aestivum_CS42_TGACv1_scaffold_082981_1DS